rnacentral:rRNA from 1 species
CGCCUGUUUAUCAAAAACAUCUUUUCUUGUUAGUUUUUGAAGUAUGGCCUGCCCGCUGAUUUUAGGUUGAAGGGCCGCGGUAUUUUGACCGUGCAAAGGUAGCAUAAUCAUUAGUUCUUUAAUUGUGAUCUGGUAUGAAUGGCUUGACGAGGCAUGGGCUGUCUUGGAUUGGGAUUGGUUUAUUGAAUUUGGUUUUUGAGUUAGAAUUCUUAAAUGUUUUUAUGGGACGAGAAGACCCUAUAGAGUUUAACAUUUAUUUAUAUAGCUUGUUUUGGUUUGUUUUGUAGUUGCUUUGUGUUAAUGUUUUGUUGGGGUGAUGGGAAGAAUUUUCUUAACUCUUCUUUAUUUUGGUAUAUUGAUUUAUAUUGGUUUUGAUCCAUUUAUUUUGAUUAUAAGAUUAAAUUACCUUAGGGAUAACAGCGUAAA